UACGUAGGGGGCAAGCGUUGUCCGGAAUCAUUGGGCGUAAAGCGCGUGUAGGCGGCUCGAUAAGUCUGCUGUGAAAGUUCAGGGCUCAACCCUGAAAUGCCGGUGGAAACUGUCGGGCUAGAGUCCGGAAGAGGCGAGUGGAAUUCCUGGUGUAGCGGUGAAAUGCGCAGAUAUCAGGAGGAACACCAAUGGCAAAGGCAGCUCGCUGGGACGGUACUGACGCUGAGACGCGAAAGCGUGGGGAGCAAACAGG
rnacentral:rRNA from 1 species